GACGAACGCUGACGGCGUGCUUAACACAUGCAAGUCGAAGGGAGUGGCGAACGGGUGAGUAACACGUGAGUAACCUGCCCUUUUCUUUGGGAUAAGCCUGGGAAACUGGGUCUAAUACUGGAUGGAUUGGGAUGGGCUCGCGGCUUAUCAGCUUGUUGGUGGGGUGAUGGCUUACCAAGGCUUUGACGGGUAGCCGGCCUGAGGGGGUUAUCGGUCACACUGGGACUGAGAUACGCCCCAACCUGCUACUUUGGUCAUCAGUGGGUGAUAUUGCACAAUGGACGAACGUCUGAUGCAGCGACGUCGUGUAGGGGAUGAAGGCCUUCUUGUUGUAAACUCCUUUCGCCCGCGGAAUGGUAGUGGGUAAAGAAGCGCCGGCUAACUACGUGCCAGCAGCCGCGGUAAUUC
rnacentral:rRNA from 1 species